rnacentral:misc_RNA from 1 species
GAUGAAGAACGCAGCUAAAUGCGAUAAGUAAUGUGAAUUGCAGAAUUCAGUGAAUCAUCGAAUCUUUGAACGCACAUUGCGCCCAUUAGUAUUCUAGUGGGCAUGCCUGUUCGAGCGUCAUUAAGUCCACUUAAGCCCUGCUUAGUGUUGGGAGACUGCUCCAGCGGUGCUACCCUGUAGCUACCCUGCAGCUCCUCAAAGACAGCGGCGGAGUUGUGGUAUCCUCUGAGCUUAGUAACUUGUUCUAGCUUUCGAGUACACCACUUCCCCUGCCGUAAAACCCUUAAUUUUUAAUGGUUGACCUCGGAUCAGGUAGGAAUACCCGCUGAACUUAAGCAUAUCAAUAAGCGGAGGA